CAUCCAAUUUGAUGCUUAUAUAAUUUUAAUUUAAAAUUAUAUAAGAUUCAUUAUAUGACUUUAGUUUAAAAUUAUAUAAGAUUAGAGGCGGCAUUUUUAAGGUUCGGCUCAUAGCUGCGCACGGCCUUAUCCUCCUCCGGUCCCCCUUCUCAUCCACGUCUUUCUCUCUCUCUACGGCGGCGGCGAUGGCUCAUGGCUGAGACGCGGCUCAUCAUUGCCCCUUCCCCCACCAUGCCGCCGUACCUGGGCGCCCCAGCGAGGUGGAUCUGCACGGGUGCCGGCACCAGCGGAUAAUGCCCAACAGCAGCCACACGAGCCCAAGGGGUAGCCUGUGAGCAGCAUAUGCCCUUGAGGAUGGCGAAGAGGAGGGGACAAUGCCCAACAGCAGCCACACGAGCCCAAGGGGUAGCCUGUGAGCAGCAUAUGCCCUUGAGGAAGGCGAAGAGGAGGGGCACGCCGACGAGGGCGGGAGGAAGAAGCGGCAGGGGCGGCAGCGGGGAUAGGCGCUGUUGCCCGGGGCAGCCGUAGUUCUUGCUCGUCUCGCUAGCUAGCAGCGAGUCGCAGUGGCAGAUCAAUGAGGCCACUCAUGGGCGUGGGCUUCAGCGCUGGUACGGUGAAGGCAGAGGCUUCCAUGUCGAAGACGAGCCAUCAAGGACUGGGACGUUACUAAUUUACUAUCACUACUGCAUUCCUGUUGGUGGUUCUGUUCGUGGCUCUAUUUGCACCUCUGGUGGCAGUCUUGGAUUGAUCGCUUCUGGCAUGCAGGUUCAGAUCCUUUAAAUCUACCAUGUUAGUUUGGCCUUUUAUCUACCAUGUAGAAAACUCAUCCUUUUACCCUUUUAUCUUUUAACGUUACAGUGUGUUCUUAUCUGGGGAAACCAAAGUAUUCAUGCUAUCUGUCUUCUUAAUGCAUUUUGCUUGUUUCUUUGUCAGGUGGGCACAAGAAUGCAAUUCACAUAUUUAUAUCCAAGUGAUCUUUUUCAAUUAAAAGAAGAGUACAGUAGAACUGAAUUUGGUGCCAGCCAUCAAAUUCUUUUAACCUAGGCCAACCUACAAGUUAUGGACACUUGUCAUCCAGAUAUCUAAUUGUUUAGAUGGUUUUAUAAAAAAUAGGUAUCAAAGCAGCUAUAGGUGGUUUCAAAGGCAAUUCACAUAUUUAUAUCCAAGUGAUCUUUUUCAAUUAAAAGAAGAGUACAGUAGAACUGAAUUUGGUGCCAGCCAUCAAAUUCUUUUAACCUAGGCCAACCUACAAGUUAUGGACACUUGUCAUCCAGAUAUCUAAUUGUUUAGAUGGUUUUAUAAAAAAUAGGUAUCAAAGCAGCUAUAGGUGGUUUCAAAGGCAAACAAAGGAGAGCAAUAUCAAAUGAGGAUUGUGACAUUUUCCUAAACCGCAAGCAGAAUUAUAAGGGGUAAAAGCAGAAGCAUGAUAAGAAGCUGCGCCUGUUGAGGAAGCAGGAGGUGAACGGCCUGGAUUACUUGAAGAUGGAGAGGAAGGAGAUUGAGAGCUUGGAGUCCUAGAUGCUGGUUGCCAAUCAGUCCAUCGUGACCACAACUUCUGAGAUAAUCAGGCUCAGAGAAUUACUCUUUGGUUACUCUGUUCUUUGUAGAAAUAUCUGAACACUUACACUAAUGUUAAUGACUAUCAGAGUAUGAUCUAGGUGUAGAAAUAUUACAAUUUCAGUUAAUCUCCUUGAUUGUAAUACAAUUUGCAAAUAGGCUUUAUAUUUUAUUUGCAGAUUUACCUCA